UCACAUGCAAACCAUGGCCCCCUCCCCCCUCCACUUUUAUUUAGCAUAUAUAAAAGAGAUCCAAAGGGGAUUGUGAUAAGGUGGCCUUGGCAUAAUUCUUGGAACGGAGAACAUGGAACAAAACAUGAGAGGUGAAAAGGAGAGCUUGAGGGAGGGAUACCAUGUUCCAGUCCACAGCCAAGUGAGAAGGAUCAAGCAAGAGGAUGAGAAGAUGAAGGACCGGCUGCAGCCUAAGGUUCUUGAGGUGAGGCCGGCCUUUCGGGACCUCACAAGGCAGCUCUCAAGGUCACCUUUGGGAGGAGCAGGCCGAUCGAUCCCUGCAGGAGAGUGAGUAGGAUUCGAACAUCUGAAAGCUUUCAUGGGAGAAGAUUAAUAGUGGAAGAAUAUUUCUUCUUGGCCUUCCUUUAAGUUUCCUUUUCUCCUAUACAUCUGUAAUGGGCCAUACUGGUGUCUUCCCAUGACUACGUAGGCUACAGAGAAAAGUAUGACGAAUUCAGAGAUUGUUUCAUGGGACUUCUUGUUCUUAGUUUAUUUAUGUUUGGCUUUCUUCUAGACCAUGUGAAUAUGUGUCAUCUUGGUUUUCUUGCUUUCAUUUGGAAUUUUUCUUUGAUGUAAAAUUUCAUUUGGAUCCUUCGAUAAGUAUUGAUGUAUGUAUUUCUGAACAGAAAAGAUAAAAUUCUGGACUCCAGUUCGAGAAUUAUCAUUUUUCAAGGGGAUAAAAAUAAUCUAUAGAGAGCAACAAUCCUCCUUUCACAUCGGUGCCUCUGGAGCUGUAACAUUUGCUAUCAAUUUACACAAAUAUAUUUGACCUUAUCUAUUUUUGGG
rnacentral:lncRNA from 1 species